rnacentral:rRNA from 1 species
UACGUAGGGUGCAAGCGUUAAUCGGAAUUACUGGGCGUAAAGCGUGCGAAGGCGGCUUUGCAAGACAGAUGUGAAAUCCCCGGGCUUAACCUGGGAACUGCAUUUGUGACUGCAUGGCUGGAGUGCGGCAGAGGGGGAUGGAAUUCCGCGUGUAGCAGUGAAAUGCGUAGAUAUCUGGAGGAAUACCGGUGGCGAAGGCGGCAUCCUGGACCAUUACUGACGCUGAAUCGCGAAAGCUAGGGGAGCAAACGGG